UUGAAAAACCGGUUCUUGUACGAUCGCCGAAGUUAAACAACGUCGAGCCUGGUCAGAACGUAGAUGGGUGACCGCUUGGGAAUACCUCGUGCUGUAGG